rnacentral:sRNA from 1 species
GAACGCUGCCGAAGACAGUAGGUGCUGUAAAGCAUAAGGAUUAAAACGCCUACCGAGGACUAAGUAUUCUUGAGAAGAAUUACGUUAAGCCUUACUGUCAUGCAGUAAGGUUUUUUUAUCU